rnacentral:rRNA from 1 species
UGGCCUACGGGGCGCAGCAGUGAAGAAUAUUGGUCAAUGGACGGAAGUCUGAACCAGCCAUGCCGCGUGCAGGAUGACGGCUCUAUGAGUUGUAAACUGCUUUUGUAUUAGGGUAAACACCCCUACGUGUAGGGGCUUGAAAGUAUAAUACGAAUAAGGAUCGGCUAACUCCGUGCCAGCAGCCGCGGUAAUACGGAGGAUCCAAGCGUUAUCCGGAUUUAUUGGGUUUAAAGGGUGCGUAGGCGGUCCGUUAAGUCAGCGGUAAAAUUGCGGGGCUCAACCCCGUCGAGCCGUUGAAACUGGCA